GAUGAACGCUGGCGGCGUGCCUAAUACAUGCAAGUCGAGCGAACGGACGAGAAGCUUGCUUCUCUGAUGUUAGCGGCGGACGGGUGAGUAACACGUGGGUAACCUACCUAUAAGACCGGGAUAACUUCGGGAAACCGGAGCUAAUACCGGAUAAUAUUUUGAACCGCAUGGUUCAAAAGUAAAAGACGGUCUUGCUGUCACUUAUAGAUGGAUCCGCGCUGCAUUAGCUAGUUGGUAAGGUAACGGCUUACCAAGGCAACGAUGCAUAGCCGACCUGAGAGGGUGAUCGGCCACACUGGAACUGAGACACGGUCCAGACUCCUACGGGAGGCAGCAGUAGGGAAUCUUCCGCAAUGGGCGAAAGCCUGACGGAGCAACGCCGCGUGAGUGAUGAAGGUCUUCGGAUCGUAAAACUCUGUUAUUAGGGAAGAAUAUGUGUGUAAGUAACUGUGCACAUCUUGACGGUACCUAAUCAGAAAGCCACGGCUAACUACGUGCCAGCAGCCGCGGUAAUACGUAGGUGGCAAGCGUUAUCCGGAAUUAUUGGGCGUAAAGCGCGCGUAGGCGGUUUUUUAAGUCUGAUGUGAAAGCCCACGGCUCAACCGUGGAGGGUCAUUGGAAACUGGAAAACUUGAGUGCAGAAGAGGAAAGUGGAAUUCCAUGUGUAGCGGUGAAAUGCGCAGAGAUAUGGAGGAACACCAGUGGCGAAGGCGACUUUCUGGUCUGUAACUGACGCUGAUGUGCGAAAGCGUGGGGAUCAAACAGGAUUAGAUACCCUGGUAGUCCACGCCGUAAACGAUGAGUGCUAAGUGUUAGGGGGUUUCCGCCCCUUAGUGCUGCAGCUAACGCAUUAAGCACUCCGCCUGGGGAGUACGACCGCAAGGUUGAAACUCAAAGGAAUUGACGGGGACCCGCACAAGCGGUGGAGCAUGUGGUUUAAUUCGAAGCAACGCGAAGAACCUUACCAAAUCUUGACAUCCUUUGACAACUCUAGAGAUAGAGCCUUCCCCUUCGGGGGACAAAGUGACAGGUGGUGCAUGGUUGUCGUCAGCUCGUGUCGUGAGAUGUUGGGUUAAGUCCCGCAACGAGCGCAACCCUUAAGCUUAGUUGCCAUCAUUAAGUUGGGCACUCUAAGUUGACUGCCGGUGACAAACCGGAGGAAGGUGGGGAUGACGUCAAAUCAUCAUGCCCCUUAUGAUUUGGGCUACACACGUGCUACAAUGGACAAUACAAAGGGCAGCGAAACCGCGAGGUCAAGCAAAUCCCAUAAAGUUGUUCUCAGUUCGGGUUGUAGUCUGCAACUCGACUACAUGAAGCUGGAAUCGCUAGUAAUCGUAGAUCAGCAUGCUACGGUGAAUACGUUCCCGGGUCU
rnacentral:rRNA from 1 species